rnacentral:misc_RNA from 1 species
GAAAUGCGAUAAGUAAUGUGAAUUGCAGAAUUCAGUGAAUCAUCGAAUCUUUGAACGCACCUUCGCUCCUUGGUAUUCCUUGGAGCAUGCCUGUUUGAGUAUCAUGAAAUCUUCAAAGUAAAUCUUUUGUUAACUCAAUUGGUUUCUACUUUGGUAUUGGAGGUCUUUGCAGCUUCACACCUGCUCCUCUUUGUUCAUUAGCUGGAUCUCAGUGUUAUGCUUGGUUCCACUCGGCGUGAUAAGUUAUCUAUCGCUGAGGACACUGUAAAAGGUGGCCAAGGUAAAUGCAGAUGAACCGCUUCUAAUAGUCCAUUGACUUGGACAAUACUUUUAUGAUCUGAUCUCAAAUCAGGUAGGACUACCCGCUGAACUUAAGC